AGGUGUGAGGCACCCCUCGAUCCCGUGGUUCGACCACAGUCGCUUAGCGGAGCAUAUCGACUAAUUUGACACUACGAAUGUAUAAACCACACAAAACACAUAAAACAAUCAAUCAAACAAACAAAACAAAACAAAACAAUCCAAAAGUAUAGUGUCCAGUCCAAUUAUUACAAUCCGAAAUAAAAAGGUACUGAAAAAGUAAACCUACACUAAUCCUAAACUACGCUCCAAUACUUUACCCGAUGUUUCAGGCCUUAAUCACGAACAUCUUCCGCCAACAUAAUACGUCGAGGCAUUCCACGAUAAAUAAAUACAAUGAGCCUCGGGGCAUUCUCCGGCUAAAUGAAUUCAUUUGAUGAAAUACGAUAAAAACAAACCACUCCACAAACAUUUCAAAUCAUUCAACCAUACACAAUCCCUACUUUUGCCUACCCAACUUAGAAUUUGUCUAUUCCGUCUCGACCUAAAAUAUGAUAAUAUCAAUUUCGAUUAACGUUCGUUUUAAGUCAAACAACACCCCAAAAAUCAAAUCAAUCAAAAUUCACCUUUUUAUCAAGUUUCAAACCCCGUUCCACUUAUUCCCAAUCAAUUAACCAAUUUCAAUAUAAGAAUCAACCAAUCAAGGUACGACAAUUAUAGAAACUCAAACACGCUCAAAAUUUGUAUCUUCAACCCAUCACGAAUCAACAAAAAUCAUGACAUCAAAUAUCACAUCACGAUAAAAUAAAAAGAGAUUAAGUUGAAGAAUUUGACCUCGAUUUUAUUUCAUCCACUGAAUUUGUUCGAACAAAGCCAACGAACUUAAGACCUCGAUUCAAUGAAAUCAACACGGAUCCCCCAACUUGAUCAACCCCUCCAAAAAAAGAAAUAACCGAGCAACCCCAAAACAGUUCCCACGAAAUACGGCAGUUUCUAAGGAUUAGUCGCAAAUUUCAGGCAUUUUCCGACAGGUUUUUGAAAUUGAUUCAACCGGAGUUACUGUUUUCUCGGUGCCGGAGGUCCGGUGAGCUCCGACGGUGUCAAGAGACGACGAAAAUGGUUUAAAUUUCGGUGAUGGGUAGCCUUUUUCGAUGGGAUUUCACCGAUUCUUAAUGUUUCUUCGCCCAAACCCUCUCAAAUCGCUUCCAUUCCCUCCGUUUCACUCUCUUUCUCCUGAUUCUCUCUCUCGCUUAGUUUCGUCUCUCACUGUGUAGCUAUGUGUAUCGGUGAGGGAUUGUGAGAGUGUGCAAUGGUCUGUGUUGUUAAUUUUUGAGGUCAGUAAAGAAGAAAAGAAAAUCAGAAAAUGGUGUGUGCGCGCUCUGUUUCUGAGAAAAAUGAAAAUUUCAGUCCCUUGAUCGUGACCCCCCUUGUAUAAGAUGAUAGUCCCCCUUUUUUUUCCAAUGUGUGUAGUGUAUAUAUUAUAUUCCCUAUCUGUGGAAAUUGUUAGUGAGUGGAAUGUUGUGGAAGAAUGGAGUCAAUCCCUGGGCCCCUUUUUUGUAAUGGAAAAGGAAUAAAAGUGUAAGUAGGCAUGGGUAGGUGGUUAGCAUAAGAUAAAAUUGGUUAUAGAUUUUGUUGAAUUUUUAUUAUUUUUGUAUUUUUGUGGAAUAUAAUUAAACGGGUGAAGAGGA
rnacentral:lncRNA from 1 species